AUUGAACGCUGGCGGCAGGCCUAACACAUGCAAGUCGAACGAGUGGCGGACGGGUGAGUAAUGUCUGGGAAACUGCCCGAUGGAGGGGGAUAACUACUGGAAACGGUAGCUAAUACCGCAUACCAUCGGAUGUGCCCAGAUGGGAUUAGCUAGGUGGUGGGGUAACGGCUCACCUAGGCGACGAUCCCUAGCUGGUCUGAGAGGCUGACCAGCCACACUGGAACUGAGACACGGUCCAGACUCCUACGGGAGGCAGCAGUAGGGAAUAUUGCGCAAUGGGCGCAAGCCUGAUGCAGCCAUGCCGCGUGAAUGAAGAAGGCCUUCGGGUUGUAAAGUACUGUCAGCGAGGAGGCAUUACUCGCAGAAGAAGCACCGGCUAACUCCGUGCCAGCCGCCGCGGUAAUUC
rnacentral:rRNA from 1 species